rnacentral:rRNA from 1 species
GGUGAACGCUGGCGGCGUGCUUAACACAUGCAAGUCGAACGAUGAAGCCCAGCUUGCUGGGUGGAUUAGUGGCGAACGGGUGAGUAACACGUGAGUAACCUGCCCUUAACUCUGGGAUAAGCCUGGGAAACUGGGUCUAAUACCGGAUAGGAGCGCCUACCGCAUGGUGGGUGUUGGAAAGAUUUAUCGGUUUUGGAUGGACUCGCGGCCUAUCAGCUUGUUGGUGAGGUAAUGGCUCACCAAGGCGACGACGGGUAGCCGGCCUGAGAGGGUGACCGGCCACACUGGGACUGAGACACGGCCCAGACUCCUACGGGAGGCAGCAGUGGGGAAUAUUGCACAAUGGGCGAAAGCCUGAUGCAGCGACGCCGCGUGAGGGAUGACGGCCUUCGGGUUGUAAACCUCUUUCAGUAGGGAAGAAGCGAAAGUGACGGUACCUGCAGAAGAAGCACCGGCUAACUACGUG